rnacentral:ncRNA from 1 species
CGGCGAGGCUUCCUGUCCGUUAUCCAUGGGGGCACUCGAUCAUGCUGUGGGUCCCGCUUUCGGGACCUUAGAUGCAGGUCGUCGAGAGCAUGAUGUGAGGAUGGGUUAGAUGCCCA